rnacentral:rRNA from 1 species
GGCGUUAAGUUGCAGGGUAUAGACCCGAAACCCGGUGAUCUAGCCAUGGGCAGGUUGAAGGUUGGGUAACACUAACUGGAGGACCGAACCGACUAAUGUUGAAAAAUUAGCGGAUGACUUGUGGCUGGGGGUGAAAGGCCAAUCAAACCGGGAGAUAGCUGGUUCUCCCCGAAAGCUAUUUAGGUAGCGCCUCGUGAAUUCAUCUCCGGGGGUAGAGCACUGUUUCGGCAAGGGGGUCAUCCCGACUUACCAACCCGAUGCAAACUGCGAAUACCGGAGAAUGUUAUCACGGGAGACACACGGCGGGUGCUAACGUCCGUCGUGAAGAGGGAAACAACCCAGACCGCCAGCUAAGGUCCCAAAGUCAUGGUUAAGUGGGAAACGAUGUGGGAAGGCCCAGACAGCCAGGAUGUUGGCUUAGAAGCAGCCAUCAUUUAAAGAAAGCGUAAUAGCUCACUGGUCGAGUCGGCCUGCGCGGAAGAUGUAACGGGGCUAAACCAUGCACCGAAGCUGCGGCAGCGACGCUGAUGCGUUGUUGGGUAGGGGAGCGUUCUGUAAGCCUGUGAAGGUGUGCUGUGAGGCAUGCUGGAGGUAUCAGAAGUGCGAAUGCUGACAUAAGUAACGAUAAAGCGGGUGAAAAGCCCGCUCGCCGGAAGACCAAGGGUUCCUGUCCAACGUUAAUCGGGGCAGGGUGAGUCGACCCCUAAGGCGAGGCCGAAAGGCGUAGUCGAUGGGAAACAGGUUAAUAUUCCUGUACUUGGUGUUACUG